rnacentral:rRNA from 1 species
UACGGAGGAUCCAAGCGUUAUCCGGAUUUAUUGGGUUUAAAGGGUGCGUAGGCGGAAUAAUAAGUCAGAGGUGAAAGCCUACAGCUUAACUGUAGAAUUGCCUUUGAUACUGUUGUUCUUGAGUACAUUUGAUGUGGGCGGAAUGUGUCAUGUAGCGGUGAAAUGCUUAGAUAUGACACAGAACACCGAUUGCGAAGGCAGCUCACAAAACUGUUACUGACGCUGAGGCACGAAAGCGUGGGGAUCAAACAGG